UGUGUUUGCCCAGCCACUGGGGGCGCGGCUGGGGGCGGGCUGGGUCUCCCUCCUGGAGGAACCGGGAGACAGGGGCCUCUGCGGGAGGAGGGGCCUUCAGCCCUGCGGGGAUGGGCUGAGGAGUGUCCAGCAGGACCUCACGCUCCCCGACGCUCUGCCCAGUGGGCGUGGCCUCCCAUCCUCGCUGGAGUCAACCCUCACGGUGAGAGAAGGGUGACCGGCCCCAACAAGGACGGCAACUUCCAAAAUCGUCAAGCUGGGAAUGGGGGCCGCUGGCGUGCAGCAGGUGGAACCAGAGUCUGCCUGCCGUCACCCCGAAGGCCAGCACAGUCCCUCGAGGAUGGCAAUGAGCUGGUCACAUUCAGGGACCCCUCUGAGCAGCCAGCGAACCUCCUGAAACCCAGAGCCUUUCCCCAUGACCCAAGCACCUCGUGCUCCUUGGAUUGUGUCCUCAGGACACAUGAGAGUCAGACCCAAGCCGAAAGGUCAGUGGUGGAAUUCACUCGGAUUUGGUUUCAGAUGUCCCGGGGGAGACCCUUGGCCACUGCGGGAGCAUGGAGCCGGCUUCCCCCCGAGAAGGAGACGUGAGGGUGCAGGGGGAGGAUCCACCGCACGGGAUGCCCAUGUGCAUCGCACACCGUGGAUUCCAGGCAAACGCUACCGCGAACUUCCUUCUAGCAAUUAAAGCACAAACCCAUGUCGUGGCAGCUGGGCGGAGCUCCUCAGAGUCCCUGUGUCGAGUGUGCCUUGAAUCUCAACGCCCUGUGUCCUGAGGGAAGUUACCUCUCUGGGUCGCCAUGGGCUCCUUGAAUGCCCCCCAGACAGAGGAGGGUCCCCGUUCCAUGUGCACUGGGCCACCUCACAUCUACCUAGCAG
rnacentral:lncRNA from 12 species